rnacentral:rRNA from 1 species
GAACCUUACCAGGUCUUGACAUCUCUGACAACCCUAGAGAUAGGGCUUUUCCCCUUCGGGGGACAGAGUGACAGGUGGUGCAUGGUUGUCGUCAGCUGGUGUCGUGAGAUGUUGGGUUAAGUCCCGCAACGAGCGCAACCCUUGAUCUUAGUUGCCAGCAUUCAGUUGGGCACUCUAAGAUGACUGCCGGUGACAAACCGGAGGAAGGUGGGGAUGACGUCAAAUCAUCAUGCCCCUUAUGACCUGGGCUACACACGUGCUACAAUGGACGGUACAAAGGGCAGCAAGACCGCGAGGUUUAGCCAAUCCCAGAAAACCGUUCUCAGUUCGGAUUGUAGGCUGCAACUCGCCUACAUGAAGCUGGAAUCGCUAGUAAUCGCGGAUCAGCAUGCCGCGGUGAAUACGUUCCCGGGCCUUGUACACACCGCCCGUCACACCACGAGAGUUUGUAACACCCGAAGUGCG